rnacentral:rRNA from 1 species
ACGUGAUCUGAGUUCAGACCGGAGCAAUCCAGGUCAGUUUCUAUCUAUAAAGAGCUUCUUCUAGUACGAAAGGACCAAAAAAGCAUGGCCUAUACUUCAAGCAAGCCAUCGUGAGUAAUUUAUGACUAAAACUUAACAAACAACUCACCUUCUACUAACCUCUAAACAAGAGA